rnacentral:rRNA from 1 species
UUUGAUCCUGGCUCAGGACGAACGCUGGCGGCGUGCCUAAUACAUGCAAGUCGAGCGAUGAUUAAAGAUAGCUUGCUAUUUUUAUGAAGAGCGGCGAACGGGUGAGUAACGCGUGGGAAAUCUGCCGAGUAGCGGGGGACAACGUUUGGAAACGAACGCUAAUACCGCAUAACAAUGAGAAUCGCAUGAUUCUUAUUUAAAAGAAGCAAUUGCUUCACUACUUGAUGAUCCCGCGUUGUAUUAGCUAGUUGGUAGUGUAAAGGACUACCAAGGCGAUGAUACAUAGCCGACCUGAGAGGGUGAUCGGCCACACUGGGACUGAGACACGGCCCAGACUCCUACGGGAGGCAGCAGUAGGGAAUCUUCGGCAAUGGGGGCAACCCUGACCGAGCAACGCCGCGUGAGUGAAGAAGGUUUUCGGAUCGUAAAACUCUGUUGUUAGAGAAGAACGUUAAGUAGAGUGGAAAAUUACUUAAGUGACGGUAUCUAACCAGAAAGGGACGGCUAACUACGUGCCAGCAGCCGCGGUAAU